UGAGAAAGGACAGAGAAACGCCAGUAGGCAAAUCAGAACAGAUUGAGACUUUAAAAUAUUGCUUGCCUUUUACCUCAUAUGUGUCGUGACUGAGGCAAGCUACUUCUGGAACUGGAAAAAGAGUGAAAGUCUGGAAGAGAGAUUUUCGCUGUUUUUUGCCGAGGAGAGAUGAGGAGAGAAGACGCGGAUGGAGAGAGUUGGUGGACCACCGGAUGCAGCGAACUUGGAGUGAGGGUCCGAAGGUCAGUGAUGAUCGGAGGAGGUCAAUGGUGGAUGAAUGGCUUAUCAGGUACUGACUUGCGACAGGGGAUACAUCGCGCAGCAUCCACCCAAGCGAGAUUUCUGAAGUUUGGCCAGGCCAGGGGCCAUCACCCCAUAGAUUAAACCGCUGGCCGAAGCAAGAGUUACAUUUAAAAGGUGAUGCCUGAUAAAGGUGGCAUCACUAAUUAAGUCGUACUGCAUGCACUGUAAAUAUAUGUUUUGCACAGACUGGAGUAGCACCUCAAUCUUGUUGUUGCCGUCUUGAGUAAUGACAAUAAAAUUCUGUUCUAUCCUAUACAUCAUUAAAGACCUCUGUCACCCAGAACAUGCCUUCUUCUCAUUGUUAACAGAGAGGAGGUGGUACAGGAGCCUGAAGACACACACCCAACAUUUUAAGAACAGCCUCUUCCCCUCUGCCAUCAGAU